GGGUUGUGAGGUUAAGCGACUAAGCGUACACGGUGGAUGCCCUGGCAGUCAGAGGCGAUGAAGGACGUGCUAAUCUGCGAUAAGCGUCGGUAAGGUGAUAUGAACCGUUAUAACCGGCGAUUUCCGAAUGGGGAAACCCAGUGUGAUUCGUCACACUAUCAUUAACUGAAUCCAUAGGUUAAUGAGGCGAACCGGGGGAACUGAAACAUCUAAGUACCCCGAGGAAAAGAAAUCAACCGAGAUUCCCCCAGUAGCGGCGAGCGAACGGGGAGCAGCCCAGAGCCUGAAUCAGUGUGUGUGUUAGUGGAAGCGUCUGGAAAGGCGCGCGAUACAGGGUGACAGCCCCGUACACAAAAAUGCACAUGCUGUGAGCUCGAUGAGUAGGGCGGGACACGUGGUAUCCUGUCUGAAUAUGGGGGGACCAUCCUCCAAGGCUAAAUACUCCUGACUGACCGAUAGUGAACCAGUACCGUGAGGGAAAGGCGAAAAGAACCCCGGCGAGGGGAGUGAAAAAGAACCUGAAACCGUGUACGUACAAGCAGUGGGAGCACGCUUAGGCGUGUGACUGCGUACCUUUUGUAUAAUGGGUCAGCGACUUAUAUUCUGUAGCAAGGUUAACCGAAUAGGGGAGCCGAAGGGAAACCGAGUCUUAACUGGGCGUUAAGUUGCAGGGUAUAGACCCGAAACCCGGUGAUCUAGCCAUGGGCAGGUUGAAGGUUGGGUAACACUAACUGGAGGACCGAACCGACUAAUGUUGAAAAAUUAGCGGAUGACUUGUGGCUGGGGGUGAAAGGCCAAUCAAACCGGGAGAUAGCUGGUUCUCCCCGAAAGCUAUUUAGGUAGCGCCUCGUGAAUUCAUCUCCGGGGGUAGAGCACUGUUUCGGCAAGGGGGUCAUCCCGACUUACCAACCCGAUGCAAACUACGAAUACCGGAGAAUGUUAUCACGGGAGACACACGGCGGGUGCUAACGUCCGUCGUGAAGAGGGAAACAACCCAGACCGCCAGCUAAGGUCCCAAAGUCAUGGUUAAGUGGGAAACGAUGUGGGAAGGCCCAGACAGCCAGGAUGUUGGCUUAGAAGCAGCCAUCAUUUAAAGAAAGCGUAAUAGCUCACUGGUCGAGUCGGCCUGCGCGGAAGAUGUAACGGGGCUAAACCAUGCACCGAAGCUGCGGCAGCGACGCUGAUGCGUUGUUGGGUAGGGGAGCGUUCUGUAAGCCUGCGAAGGUGUGCUGUGAGGCAUGCUGGAGGUAUCAGAAGUGCGAAUGCUGACAUAAGUAACGAUAAAGCGGGUGAAAAGCCCGCUCGCCGGAAGACCAAGGGUUCCUGUCCAACGUUAAUCGGGGCAGGGUGAGUCGACCCCUAAGGCGAGGCCGAAAGGCGUAGUCGAUGGGAAACAGGUUAAUAUUCCUGUACUUGGUGUUACUGCGAAGGGGGGACGGAGAAGGCUAUGUUGGCCGGGCGACGGUUGUCCCGGUUUAAGCGUGUAGGCUGGUUUUCCAGGCAAAUCCGGAAAAUCAAGGCUGAGGCGUGAUGACGAGGCACUACGGUGCUGAAGCAACAAAUGCCCUGCUUCCAGGAAAAGCCUCUAAGCAUCAGGUAACAUCAAAUCGUACCCCAAACCGACACAGGUGGUCAGGUAGAGAAUACCAAGGCGCUUGAGAGAACUCGGGUGAAGGAACUAGGCAAAAUGGUGCCGUAACUUCGGGAGAAGGCACGCUGAUAUGUAGGUGAAGUCCCUCGCGGAUGGAGCUGAAAUCAGUCGAAGAUACCAGCUGGCUGCAACUGUUUAUUAAAAACACAGCACUGUGCAAACACGAAAGUGGACGUAUACGGUGUGACGCCUGCCCGGUGCCGGAAGGUUAAUUGAUGGGGUUAGCGCAAGCGAAGCUCUUGAUCGAAGCCCCGGUAAACGGCGGCCGUAACUAUAACGGUCCUAAGGUAGCGAAAUUCCUUGUCGGGUAAGUUCCGACCUGCACGAAUGGCGUAAUGAUGGCCAGGCUGUCUCCACCCGAGACUCAGUGAAAUUGAACUCGCUGUGAAGAUGCAGUGUACCCGCGGCAAGACGGAAAGACCCCGUGAACCUUUACUAUAGCUUGACACUGAACAUUGAGCCUUGAUGUGUAGGAUAGGUGGGAGGCUUUGAAGUGUGGACGCCAGUCUGCAUGGAGCCGACCUUGAAAUACCACCCUUUAAUGUUUGAUGUUCUAACGUUGACCCGUAAUCCGGGUUGCGGACAGUGUCUGGUGGGUAGUUUGACUGGGGCGGUCUCCUCCUAAAGAGUAACGGAGGAGCACGAAGGUUGGCUAAUCCUGGUCGGACAUCAGGAGGUUAGUGCAAUGGCAUAAGCCAGCUUGACUGCGAGCGUGACGGCGCGAGCAGGUGCGAAAGCAGGUCAUAGUGAUCCGGUGGUUCUGAAUGGAAGGGCCAUCGCUCAACGGAUAAAAGGUACUCCGGGGAUAACAGGCUGAUACCGCCCAAGAGUUCAUAUCGACGGCGGUGUUUGGCACCUCGAUGUCGGCUCAUCACAUCCUGGGGCUGAAGUAGGUCCCAAGGGUAUGGCUGUUCGCCAUUUAAAGUGGUACGCGAGCUGGGUUUAGAACGUCGUGAGACAGUUCGGUCCCUAUCUGCCGUGGGCGCUGGAGAAUUGAGGGGGGCUGCUCCUAGUACGAGAGGACCGGAGUGGACGCAUCACUGGUGUUCGGGUUGUCAUGCCAAUGGCACUGCCCGGUAGCUAAAUGCGGAAGAGAUAAGUGCUGAAAGCAUCUAAGCACGAAACUUGCCCCGAGAUGAGUUCUCCCUGACUCCUUGAGAGUCCUGAAGGAACGUUGAAGACGACGACGUUGAUAGGCCGGGUGUGUAAGCGCAGCGAUGCGUUGAGCUAACCGGUACUAAUGAACCGUGAGGCUUAACCUUACAACGCCGAAG
rnacentral:rRNA from 1 species